CAGCUUUCUCCUAAGUCAAACAUCUCUAACUUUGACUAAUUUUAUUUUUGAAAAAUUACUAACAUUUACAAGUUCAAAUAAAUGCACCGUCAAGACAUAUUUCAUGAAGAACUUGAUGAAACCCAGUUUGUUGUUGUAAAUAUCGAUGUAUUUUCUUGUAAACUUAAAUUGAACUUAGAGAAGUUUGGCUUAGGACAAAAAAAA
rnacentral:pre_miRNA from 1 species